ACCAGACUCCUACGGGAGGCAGCAGUGGGGAAUAUUGCACAAUGGGGGAAACCCUGAUGCAGCGACGCCGCGUGAGUGAAGAAGUCAUUCGUGAUGUAAAGCUCUAUCAGCAGGGAAGAAAAUGACGGUACCUGAGUAGGAAGCCCCGGCUAACUACGUGCCAGCAGCCGCGGUAAUACGUAGGGGGCAAGCGUUAUCCGGAUUUACUGGGUGUAAAGGGAGCGUAGACGGCAAUACAAGUCGGAAGUGAAAUACCCGGGCUCAACCUGGGAACUGCUUUGGAAACUGUAUGGCUGGAGUGCUGGAGAGGUAAGCGGAAUUCCUAGUGUAGCGGUGAAAUGCGUAGAUAUUAGGAGGAACACCAGUGGCGAAGGCGGCUUACUGGACAGUAACUGACGUUGAGGCUCGAAAGCGUGGGGAGCAAACAGGAUUAGAUACCCCGGUAUG
rnacentral:rRNA from 1 species